GGCUGGUCCGAGUGCAGUGGUGUUUACAACUAAUUGAUCACAACCAGUUACCGAUUUCUUUGUUCCUUCUCCACUCCCACUGCUUCACUUGACUAGCCUUUA
rnacentral:Y_RNA from 1 species